rnacentral:rRNA from 1 species
ACGAACGCUGGCGGCAGGCUUAACACAUGCAAGUCGAACGCCCCGCAAGGGGGGUGGCAGACGGGUGAGUAACGCGUGGGAAUCUACCCUUUGGUACGGGAUAGCUCCGGGAAACUGGAAUUAAUACCGUAUGUGGCUUGAGAGCGAAAGAUUUAUCGCCAAAGGAUGAGCCCGCGUUGGAUUAGCUAGUUGGUGGGGUAAAGGCCUACCAAGGCGACGAUCCAUAGCUGGUCUGAGAGGAUGACCAGCCACAUUGGGACUGAGACACGGCCCAAACUCCUACGGGAGGCAGCAGUGGGGAAUAUUGGACAAUGGGCGCAAGCCUGAUCCAGCCAUGCCGCGUGAGUGAUGAAGGUCUUAGGAUUGUAAAGCUCUUUCACCGGGGACGAUAAUGACGGUACCCGGAGAAGAAGCCCCGGCUAACUUCGU